GGAAGGAUCAUUAACAAAUCUGCGCAGAGCCGUAAGGCCUGCACAUCCACUCCGGGCGUGCCUUGGUGCGCCUGGUGUACGUAGUGCGCUGUGGUCUUGGCCAUGGCGAGCUACACAUCAUAAACUCGUAUGUUUGUAUGACUGUAUGUUGGAUCACUAAAUAAACAACUUUUAACAAUGGAUCUCUUGGCUCUUGCAACGAUGAAGAACGCAGUGAAAUGCGAAAAUUAAUGCGAUUUGCAUGAAUCUGUGAGUCAUCAAGUUUUUGAACGCACCUUGCACUCUCUGCGUAAGUAGAGAGUAUACCUGUUUGAGAAUCGUAACUAUCUCUCAACUCGGUCGAGUUGGAUUUGGCCUCAGCGCUGCUUUACUUUUGUACUGUACGCUUUGGUUGAAAUGUAGCAGGACCUGGCUAGGCAGGGCGCCUAGACAUUGUGUGAUAGAGACACAGUUGCUGUCUACUCACAAUGCGUCUAGGCGAGAAACCGGCCUAGUGCUGUUCUUAAACUACUACUACUAUUCUUUGAUCUCAAAUCAGGUAAGGCUACCCGCUGAACUUAAGCAUAUCAGUAAGCGGAGGAAAAGAAACUAACAAGGAUUCCCCUAGUAACGGCGAGUGAAGCGGGAAGAGCUCAAAUUUAAAAUCUGGGAGGUUUCCUCUCCGAAUUGUAAUCUAAAGAGGCGCUAUCUGGACUGGCGCUGGUGUUCAAGUCCCUUGGAAUAGGGCAUCACAGAGGGUGAGAAUCCCGUCUGGGCACUGGAGUCAGGACUAUAUGAGGCGCUUUCUACGAGUCGAGUUGUUUGGGAAUGCAGCUCAAAAUGGGAGGUAAACUUCUUCUAAGGCUAAAUAAUGGCAAGAGACCGAUAGCGAACAAGUACCGUGAGGGAAAGAUGAAAAGCACCUUGAAAAGGGAGUUAAAUAGUACGUGAAAUUGUUAAAAGGGAAACGAUUGAGACCAGUAUUGCAGUUGCAGUUUGGUAGUACCUUUGCGGGUGCUGCUUACUCUGCAGUUUGCGAGUCAACAUCAGUUUGGCCUGCCGGAAAAUCGUUAGAGGAAGGUGACGUCGGUCUUCGGGCUGGCGUUUUAUAGACUCUGACAGACACGGUGGGCUGGACUGAGGUAAGCAGUUUGGCUCCCCGUCUGUUGAACCAGAAUCCCAAGGAAUAGGACAGCACGCUGACUUGUUCUGCAAGAGUCUGACUAGACGGACGCGCCGAAUAUGUGGAUGUUGACGAAAUGGUCUUAAACGACCCGUCUUGAAACACGGACCAAGGAGUCUAACAUGUAUGCGAGUAUUUGGGUGGCAAACCCGAGUGCGUAAUGAAAGUGAUCAGAUGGGAACCGUGACAGCGGUGCACCAUCGGCCGACCUUGAUAUCUCUUGAUAGGUUUGAGUAAGAGCAUAUCUGUUGGGACCCGAAAGGUGGUGAACUAUGCCUGGAUAGGAUGAAGCCAGAGGAAACUCUGGUGGAGGUCCGUAGCCGUUCUGACGUGCAAAUCGAUGGUCAAAUCUGGGUAUAGGGGCGAAAGACUAAUCGAACCACCUAGUAGCUGGUUCCCUC
rnacentral:misc_RNA from 1 species